GACAAGUUUAAGCAGAGUUCUGA
rnacentral:piRNA from 1 species